rnacentral:rRNA from 1 species
GGGUCCUACGGGGCGCAGCAGUGAGGAAUAUUGGUCAAUGGUCGGGAGACUGAACCAGCCAAGCCGCGUGAGGGAGGAAGGUACAGAGUAUCGUAAACCUCUUUUGUCAGGGAACAAAGACUGGGACGCGUCCCCGGAUGAGUGUACCUGAAGAAAAAGCAUCGGCUAACUCCGUGCCAGCAGCCGCGGUAAUACGGAGGAUGCGAGCGUUAUCCGGAUUUAUUGGGUUUAAAGGGUGCGUAGGCGGAUUUUUAAGUCAGCGGUAAAAUGUCCGGGCUCAACCGGGGCCGGCCGUU